rnacentral:sRNA from 1 species
CUAGCGGAGGAACAGUGUUUGCAAUGACGACGUCGAGGGCGAAUAAUAAUGUCACAGGCAAAAUUUCGCAGGCAGAGACAGGUUCUCGGGUCCAAUCAAACCCCCCCGUACGGGAAUCGCUCCGGUGAGACUUGAACCUUGUUAUCCUAGGGCCCUGUCGGCUAUUAUCUCUCCCUUCGAGCCGUCAUCGUCCUUUUUUCUUUUUGUUUGCUUUCUUUUCUUCCGCGGUGCUCUGUAGGAGGAGCGUGUCACUGGCGCAUGCACAAUGACGAACAUUUCGAAUAUUUUUGAGCCUGCCAAAUGAAACAGGCGGUAUCGGUUCGUGUGUUUUGCUCUGCCUCGGUUCCAUCUCACUACAGCCGGAUUACUAAUACAGCCACGGGAACAGGGUCAAGGGUUGACAUCAUAUUGCUGUAUACGGAGCACUGAAGUACUGUAUAUUACUCCAUAGUUUUAAGACGCAGAAAAUAUCUCAGUCGUGCAUUAUUCCAUAUUUGAACUUGCGCUAGAUUAUGAUUCUUUCGCCUUUUACAAGUGCAUACGCAGUAACUUGUAAGCUCAGCUGCUAGAUUUUCUCAAGGAACGAGUGGGACCCCCAACAAUAAAAUAGAAAGUGGGGGUUAGGACUCUGUCUGGAGGAUUGUCUUUGUGGAUCUCUGGCUUGCUCCCAUGCAAUGAUGGGCAUUCCUUGCGUGCGUUAGCCUUUUUCUAGCAAAGCGCAAAAUCGAUCUGCGCUUGGAGCACAUGGAGCCCGCUUGAGCGUCGGCGAGGUCCGAGCACUCUUUUGUUGCCACUAUCGGUGAAAACCACUUCUACAUUUGCUUGGGCUGGUUCGGGCUUUGGGCAAUGGGUGA